rnacentral:lncRNA from 1 species
GCAGAAUAGCAGGCUUAGCAGCCAGUUCGCCGGGAAGAAAAUCGGAAAGGAGGUAAAGGAGCUGAAGAGGCCGAAGAACUGAUGAAGAAGACGAUGGCAAUUGGGCCUAUUUUUUUCUCAUUUUUGGGCCUUUUUUUAAAAAAAAAAUGACACCCAAAUCCAGUGGCCCAAUUCCUUGAAAUUAAUAGACGGUUGGAGAAUAUUUCCAUUGCCUUCACCAAUUUGAAGUCCAAAAUUGAAACCAAUAAACGAAGAGCUGAACCGAAACUGGGAAAAGGGCGAUUGCGAUUUGCGAUUGUGAAGGCAGUGGACUAUGGGCUGGUGCCUGGCAGAGUGGUGUGAGUUGAGUGGACAGUGACCGGUGAGCGUGUGUGGCCUGUGACCGUGAGCGACGAGGAGGUGGACGGUAGAGUCACUGGAGUGGUGCGAGUGCGACCGUGCGGCAUGCUAGUUGAGUGGACGGUGAGUCGAUCGCUAGUGGCUGCGACUGCAAGUGAGACUUCUGGCCUUGGUGUCUGGUGAACUAUUCUGUUUUUUUUUUUCCCUUUUCAUUUUGAUGCCUUAAUUUGAUUAUUUUGUUAAAUGUGAUGAUUAUGAUUUAUGAAAAUUGGGAAAUUUGUAAAUUUUGUGAAUUUGUGACUGUGGUUUGUAAAUUGGGAAUUUUAUGACUUGUGAGAAAUGUUCAAUUAGUGUUGGAAAUUAGAAAUUGGAAAUUGAUAAUAGUUUAAGUUUUAAGUUUAAUUUAUGUUUAAUUUUCAUACAGAUCAUGAUAACUGGAAAAAUUAUUGCUAAUCUCGAUUCUUGAGUUUAGUUGACACUUUUGUCUUCAUUGCAUUGCAUUGAGGUGAGGUCCCUGUAUUUUUUGUGCAAACAAGAGCCUUCACUUGUCUGUAGAUAAAUUUAGUUCAUAAAUGAGCUUUUGUUUCUGAAUCCGUUUUGUUUAGAGGCAUUUACUUUAGUUGUUAAGAAAUGAAGGAAUAAUUGAAUUCCAGAACAGGAGUGAGUGUAGUGUGUAGUGUGAUCAUUUAAUUAGAAAUCUCACUUUUCAAUUGAUUAUAUGCCUGGAAUAUGUUAGUGGAAGUGAGGGCUUGGAGAAUAUAGCCCAAAAAAUUUGAAUUGAAUGGCAAUUUGUUGACUUGGUCUUCAAAGUGAACAUAUACUUCUUCAUUGAUAAUCAAUAUUUUAGUCUACAACAAGGACAAGAGUAGCAUGUAGAGUUUGCAUAAAUUCCUUCAAUUUCAGUUAGUCUCGUCAAUAUUAUUUUGAAUAAGGAUAUAUUCUAAGUUUUGUUCAAUUAAAAAAAAAAAAAAUAUUUGAUCGAUGUCACUUUGUGUUGGGCAUAUCAAAGAAGGAUAAUGUAUUUGUGUUGGUAUACCAAACGUUGGAUUUAUUUAAUUAAAUUUAACGAUCUCACUAUUACGAUCAUUGAUGGUCAACGAUCAACGGACAACAGCCAAAAUCCGCCCUAGCUGAACUCCGAUGCUGAAUUCGCCCCUGCACACUUGACGUCACAUUUCCCAUUUAUCACCACCCCUUCAAACAACAAAAAAUCAGCUAUCAAUCAAAAAUUCCACGCUUCGAGCCAUAAACACACCACCUACGACACGGAAUUUCGUUCCCAGUAAAUGAAUAUCAUAUCAAAUUUCAAAACUGGUUUUUUUCUGGUGUUCUUUUUUGUUCUUCUUUCCCUGGUUUUUGAGUUAUUGAUAAUGAGGAAGUCCGAAGAUCCGCUCUAAAAGGAGGGUGGAGACAGACGGGUUAACUAAGAAAGAAGCAAAAGAAAAGUGUGUAAUUUGCGUAUGUAUUUGUCCGUUUGCAUGUAUUUUUUUAUUUUUUUUUUAUAAUAAUUAAACACUUUGAACAAAACAAACACAUCAUUAUCUUGGAUUGAUGACUAAGUUUCGGUCAAAGGCUGCUGUGGAUCUAUACAGAAAGAGAAUUACAUAUUAAAAGGUUGAACCCCAACCUUAAGCGUCCCCCAUCGCCUUUGUCCUGGAGUAUUGUGAGGGAGGUAAAUCGUAGGUUAUGCCUUCAAGGGUACAAAGUGGAAGGUUGCUUGUACACUUGCACUUACUCAAGAGUCAAAUCCAUAUUUCAAGAUUCGAACCCUUGACGCAGCAACCUCAAGCAAAACUGGAUUUCUCCACCUUCCUCUUUUACGACUUGAAGAUGUGCUCUGAGGGCGAAAGAGAAUUAUAUAUUUGUUGUAUGUUUUGAUGCUUCCUUAACCAGUUUCGAGAGAUACAUUUGAGUUGGAAUCUGCUAUCAAAAAUUGACUGCCCAAUUCGUUGUUCAAUCAAAGAUUUAUUGACACAUAAUAUGUCCAACUUUUCUCUCACCGUCAUUUGUGCUUGAAAAUAAGUGUAAAAUGAUAUGUCAAUAUAUCAUUUGAUAAACAGCAAGUCGGAUAAACAUUUUUGGACAGCAAAUCUCAACUCAUUUUGUGUUGCCUUUUUUCUUCCUGCUUCUUCAUAACUUUUUUGUUAUGUUUAAUAUAUGGUUGCUACUUCGAAAAGAAAAGAUGGGUAGGGUCGGAGUCGAGGGUAAAGUAAUUCCAAAUUGACGGUGAAAAUGUGUUGAAAUCUCAAUCACUUAAAUGAAUUCUAUUUACAUAUAGUUACUUGCGCUUGGUCACCAUGCUUUUGACCUGUUAUUGACUUUGGGGUCAAUGUUACUAGGUUGAAAUUGUCAUGCUUAGUAGUCAGGUAGACUCAAAUAAGCGAAUUUGAGCUUCGUAAAUCUUGUUGAAUUUCAUGAACGAAUGAUUGAAUUUGAGCUCACGAGAAGAAUACCGCUUAAGGCGAUUUUAUCAUGUUAUUGUUCAGUCCGUUUUAAGUCGAUAGUGAUGAUUGUUUGUCUUCAUCAUGACAAAAGCUCACUAAAUGCUAGUGCCUGACUUAUGCCUUCUAUUUCGAGGUGGGGCUCCUUGCCUAUGCUUUUCUAUUCAUCAUGCUAAUUCUUUCUUUGUACUGCAAGUCAGCUUACGAUAUUAUCAUGCACAAGUCUAUGUUAUGGAUUAGUUUGUAAGGUUCUCAAUAUUUUACUCUCUCUUGAAGAUAUUUCCGAGUACUUCACAAAUUUUUUUGUGUCAUUACAGAGACGUGGGGGCAAGCUGCAAUCACCUGAAUCUUUUCCAAAUUUUGAAAGCUUUAGUUCAAAGGGAAGAACACUGGGUCAAUAAAGUGUAAAGAAUUGCUUGGAAGUUGGUGCCCCACCUAAAGCUAAGUUUUGAACAAAACUAGAGAUGAAACAUGGAGCUUUAAAAAGAGGUAUUCACAAUCAAACUCGGAUUAGUAUCGUGGGGUUAGAAAUUAAAAUGUAAGUUAUAAACAACAUAAUAUUAAUGAAAUUAUGUUAAUACAAUACUAUAAUUGUAGUUUACACAUCUUGAUACUUUGAAAACGUCAUAUAAUUAUAUCAUUAUUAAUAUUGUCAAAUAAAUUAUGCUAUUUGUA